UACGGGAGGCAGCAGUGGGGAAUAUUGCACAAUGGGCGCAAGCCUGAUGCAGCCAUGCCGCGUGUAUGAAAAAGGCCUUCGGGUUGUAAAGUACUUUCAGUCGUGAGGAAGGUGUUAAGGUUAAUAACCUUAGCAAUUGACGUUAGCGACAGAAGAAGCACCGGCUAACUCCGUGCCAGCAGCCGCGGUAAUACGGAGGGUGCGAGCGUUAAUCGGAAUUACUGGGCGUAAAGGGCACGCAGGCGGUUAAUUAAGUUGGAUGUGAAAUCCCCGGGCUUAACCUGGGAAUGGCAUUCAAGACUGGUUAGCUAGAGUCUUGUAGAGGGGGGUUAGAAUUCCAUGUGUAGCGGUGAAAUGCGUAGAGAUGUGGAGGAAUACCGGUGCGAAGGCGGCCCUGGACAAGACUGACGCUCAUGUGCGAAAGCGUGGGGAGCAAACGAGGAUUAGACUACC
rnacentral:rRNA from 1 species